GACGAACGCUGGCGGCGUGCUUAACACAUGCAAGUCGAACAGUGGCGAACGGGUGAGUAACACGUGAGUAACCUGCCCUCCCCUUUGGGAUAACUCAGAGAAAUCGGGGCUAAUACUGGAUCGUGGGGGAUGGGCUCGCGGCCUAUCAGUUUGUUGGUGUGGUAGUGGUCACCAAGGCGUGCCGGGUAGCCGGCCUGAGAGGGCGACCGGCCACACGGGGACGGGGACACGGCGCAGACGCGUACGGGGGGCAGCGGUGGGGAAUAUUGCACAAUGGGCGAAAGACUGAUGCAGCGACGCCGCGGGGGGGAGGACGGUCUUCGGGUGGUAAACCUGUUUCAGCAAGGAAGCGGUACUUGCAGAAGAAGCGCCGGCUAACUACGUGCCAGCAGCCGCGGUAAUUC
rnacentral:rRNA from 1 species